rnacentral:misc_RNA from 1 species
GCUCCGUUGGUGAACCAGCGGAGGGAUCAUUACCGAGUUAUCAACUCCCAAACCCCUGUGAACAUACCCAACGUUGCUUCGGCGGGACCGCCCCGGCGCCCUCGGCGUCCCGGAACCAGGCGCCCGCCGGAGGACCCAAACUCUUGUUUAAACCAUAGUGGCAUGUUCUGAGUCUCACAAGAAAAAUGAAUCAAAACUUUCAACAACGGAUCUCUUGGCUCUG